rnacentral:lncRNA from 1 species
UGUCUUACAGUCCAUUAUAGGAAGCCUGUGAAUACAUAUCGAAAUCAAAGGAGUUAAGCUAAGUUAGUUAAGGAACGUAAGCGAAGCGAGCGAGAGGUUGCCUUCGAAGAAUAAAUUUCCUUUUUACGGACACAAAGAAGAUAUGGACAGUCAAGAAGUAGCAGCUAUCCCGUAACAAAACAAAAGUUAGAUUUUGUAAUUAUUUUGAAAGGGAGAUUGUAAAUCAAGGUUAUCUUUGAGAAGGACAUUUACGCGGAUACAAAGAAGAUAUGGACGGUCAAGAAGUAGCAGCUAUCCCAUAACAAAACAAAAUAUUAAGUUGAUACGCUGAGCAUGGAGAAUGGAAAUCUAAGUCAUCACUGAGAAGGGCAUUUACACGGAUACAAAGAAGAAAAAUACGGUGAAGGAGUUGAGUAUCUAAAUCGAGUUCGUCAUUAGAAUACGUAAUAUUCUAGGAGCUCUCCCUUUCGGGUGGAGAAAGUUAAAAGAAAAAGCAUCUUAAUUUCUGGUUCUGACGACCUCAUGGAGGUUUUAACGCCAUGGUUUUCCCUUCAGGCGGAAUGAACUUAAACUCCGGGUGAAUACCAGGUCGAUGUGUGGUGUGGAGGAGGCCAUGGCAAUGUAUGUCGCCUCUAUGCUGACUGUGCAGUACAAACACUAUUUGAUGCUGUAUACAUCGA